rnacentral:rRNA from 1 species
CAAUGCUCGCAAGAGUGAACUAGCUAACUGAAAUCAUAUGACUCACUCUGUUGAUGAAUAUGAUAACGUAAGGGAAAAAAAUGAUAUUACCUUACUAUUAGUGUUGUCCAAAACUGGUGCCAGAAGACUCGGUAAGGCCAGAGACGCAAACGUUAGUCGUCCUAAUCAGGCGUAAAGGGUAUGUAGGCUGCUUUAAAAAUUUUAUCUCAUUAAUAGCUCUGUAGUAUAAUAUUAAUAUUUAUUUUAUAUAUAUUUCAGUAAAGAUAAUAUGAAUUAAAGCUAGGAUCAAAUUGAGGAUAAACCAAAUAAUACUUAGUGUAGGGUUGAUAUCUAUAGAUACUAAGGGGAAUACUAAAGGUGAAAGCUUUUUAUCUAGUAAUGAUUGACGCUGAGAAACGAAGGUGAGAAUAGGAAAUAGGAUUAGAUACCCAGAUACCUCUCACUGUAAACGAUGAAUGGUGGUUGUUAGUUUUAAUAAAAACUGGUAACGAUGUUAACACGAUAACCAUUCCGCCUUGCGAGUACGGUUGCAAAACUGAAACCAAAAAAAUUAGUCGGUCUCGAAGCAAACG